AGAGUUUGAUCAUGGCUCAGGACGAACGCUGACGGUGUGCUUUAGGCAUGCAAGUCGAACGAGAAAGCCCUUCGGGGUGAGUAAAGUGGCGAACGGGUGAGUAACACGUGGGCAACCUGCCCCUCGCAGGGGGACAACCGGAGGAAACUCCGGCUAAUACCCCGUACGCUUGUUGGAUCGCAUGGUCCGGCAAGGAAAGGUAGCUUCGGCCAUCCGGCGAGGGAUGGGCCCGCGUUGCAUUAGCUAGUUGGUGGGGUAACGGCCUACCAAGGCGACGAUGCGUAGCUGGUCUGAGAGGAUGAUCAGCCACACUGGGACUGAGACACGGCCCAGACUCCUACGGGAGGCAGCAGCCAGGAAUCUUGGGCAAUGGGCGAAAGCCUGACCCAGCAACACCGUGUGGGCGAUGAAGGCCUUAGGGUCGUAAAGCCCUGUUGAUAGGGACGAAGGGCGAAGGGUUAAUAGCCCCUAGCUUGACGGUACCUUUCGAGGAAGCCCCGGCUAACUACGUGCCAGCAGCCGCGGUAAUACGUAGGGGGCGAGCGUUGUCCGGAAUUAUUGGGCGUAAAGAGCGUGUAGGCGGUUCGGUAAGUCUGCUGUGAAAUCCUGGGGCUCAACCCUGGGCGUGCAGCGGAUACUGCCGGGCUAGAGGGUGGUAGAGGCGAGUGGAAUUCCGAGUGUAGCGGUGAAAUGCGCAGAUAUUCGGAGGAACACCAGUAGCGAAGGCGGCUCGCUGGGCCACACCUGACGCUGAGACGCGAAAGCGUGGGGAGCGAACAGGAUUAGAUACCCCGGUAGUCC
rnacentral:rRNA from 1 species